UACGAAGGGUGCUAGCGUUGUUCGGAAUCACUGGGCGUAAAGCGCGCGUAGGCGGCUUUUCAAGUCAGAGGUGAAAUCCCCAGGCUCAACCUGGGAAUUGCCUUUGAAACUGUAAAGCUGGAGUGUCGGAGGGGAUAGCGGAAUUGCUAAUGUAGAGGUGAAAUUCGUAGAUAUUAGCAGGAACACCGGUGGCGAAGGCGGCUAUCUGGACGACAACUGACGCUGAGGCGCGGAAAGCGUGGGGAGCAAACAGGG
rnacentral:rRNA from 1 species